AUUGAACGCUGGCGGCAGGCCUAACACAUGCAAGUCGAACGGUAACAGGAAGCAGCUUGCUGCUUCGCUGACGAGUGGCGGACGGGUGAGUAAUGUCUGGGAAGCUGCCUGAUGGAGGGGGAUAACUACUGGAAACGGUAGCUAAUACCGCAUAAUGUCGAAAGACCAAAGAGGGGGACCUUCGGGCCUCUUGCCAUCGGAUGUGCCCAGAUGGGAUUAGCUUGUUGGUGGGGUAACGGCUCACCAAGGCGACGAUCCCUAGCUGGUCUGAGAGGAUGACCAGCCACACUGGAACUGAGACACGGUCCAGACUCCUACGGGAGGCAGCAGUGGGGAAUAUUGCACAAUGGGCGCAAGCCUGAUGCAGCCAUGCAGCGUGUAUGAAGAAGGCCUUCGGGUUGUAAAGUACUUUCAGCGGGGAGGAAGGGAGUAAAGUUAAUACCUUUGCUCAUUGACGUUACCCGCAGAAGAAGCACCGGCUAACUCCGUG
rnacentral:rRNA from 1 species